CGGCCCUUUAAGCAGCGCUUGCAACGUGCCUGGAAUUCUGCAGCCAAGUCUGCUGCUUUCUCCUCCCUUCUUGGACUCUUGGAGACCUGACAUGCUAUUGGUGGCCUCAUGAAGCAGAAGUGGAGAAGAAGGAAGUGUCAGGAAUGCCACAGACAGAGGAGAAAAGAAGAUGGAGGAAAAGGAAAGGAACUCUGGGCACAGUACCCUCCCUCAAAUCAGCCUCAGGUCAUGUAAUUAGACUGUAUGGGAAUCUCGAGCCUUUUAAUACCUUGAGCAGCGUGACCGCCCUGUAAGCUGGGUCCCGGUCUGUCCCCUUUGGACAUUCUGCUCCGUCAUCUGGCUAGUGUGAGUGACUGCCCUGUAAUGAGGGUGCCAGUCACCUCCCCCUUAAUGUGGAGGGGCAUUGAGCUCUUUCUUUAAUUGAGCAUUGUGACCGCCCUGUAACUAGGGUGCGGGUCUCUGCCGACUUGCUCAUUUGGCAUUACGCCAGGCUCUGCCCCACUAGUCAGCGUGACAACCCUGUAAUUAGGGUCCAUGUCACAAGGCUCUCCAGAAUGGGACAUAUCGAGCUCUUUGGUACUUUGACAGCUGGACCUUCCUGUAAUUCAGGUUAUGGUCUCUCCUCUUUGGCUAAUGCCAGCGACCACCCUGUAAUGAGGGGACAGGUUGCAUCUUGCUUUUGAAAUCUGGGGGAUUAGAAUCAUUUCUGUAACAUGGGCAGCUUGACCUCCCUGUAAGUAGGGUUUGAAUCUCCGAAGCCCUUUGGCUGCUUAGUGAGUGUGACUGCCCUGCAAUCAGGGUGCAAGUCACCUCCCCCUAAAUGUGGGGGGGGGGGCAUUGAGCUCUUUGUUAAACUGAGCAAUGUGACCGCCCUGUAACUAGGGUCUGGGUCUCUGCCCACUUGCUCAUUUGGCUUUACGCCGUGCUCUGCCCCCUGGGUCAGCGUGACCGCUCUGUAAUUAGGGUCUGUGUCACAAGUUACUCUUAAAUGGGACAUAUCGAGCUCCUUGGUACUUUGACAGCUGGACCUUCCUUUAAUUCAGGUUAUGGUCUCUCCUCUUUGGCUAAUGCCAGCGACCACCCUGUAAUGAGGGGACAGGUUGCAUCUCGCUUUUGAAAUCUGGGGGAUUAAAAUCAUUUCCGUAACAUGGGCAGCUUGACCUCCCUGUAACUAGGGUUUGCGUCUCCGAGGCCCUUUGGGUCUCUUGGCCUCGUGCUGUCUUCACAGCGUGCGAAGGACCGCCCUGUCAUCAGGGAUCGGGUCUUUGCCCUCUAGUCUCUUGGCACUAGGCCAAAUGCAGCCACUGCCCCGAAUGAGCACCCUGUAAACAGGGUACAGGUCUCAUCAGCUACUAUUUAUGGUGCCCCCUGAGACUGUGUCCAGAGUACCGGCCCUUUAAGCAGCGCUUGCAACGUGCCUGGAAUUCUGCAGCCAAGUCUCCUGCUUUCUCCUCCCUUCUUGGACUCUUGGAGACCUGACAUGCUAUUGGUGGCCUCAUGAAGCAGAAGUGGAGAAGAAGGAAGUGUCAGGAAUGCCACAGACAGAGGAGAAAAGAAGAUGGAGGAAAAGGAAAGGAACUCUGGGCACAGUACCCUCCCUCAAAUCAGCCUCAGGUCAUGUAAUUAGACUGUAUGGGAAUCUCGAGCCUUUUAAUACCUUGAGCAGCGUGACCGCCCUGUAAGCUGGGUCCCGGUCUGUCCCCUUUGGACAUUCUGCUCCGUCAUCUGGCUAGUGUGAGUGACUGCCCUGUAAUGAGGGUGCCAGUCACCUCCCCCUUAAUGUGGAGGGGCAUUGAGCUCUUUCUUUAAUUGAGCAUUGUGACCGCCCUGUAACUAGGGUGCGGGUCUCUGCCGACUUGCUCAUUUGGCAUUACGCCAGGCUCUGCCCCACUAGUCAGCGUGACAACCCUGUAAUUAGGGUCCAUGUCACAAGGCUCUCCAGAAUGGGACAUAUCGAGCUCUUUGGUACUUUGACAGCUGGACCUUCCUGUAAUUCAGGUUAUGGUCUCUCCUCUUUGGCUAAUGCCAGUGACCACCCUGUAAUGAGGGGACAGGUUGCAUCUUGCUUUUGAAAUCUGGGGGAUUAGAAUCAUUUCUGUAACAUGGGCAGCUUGACCUCCCUGUAAGUAGGGUUUGAAUCUCCGAAGCCCUUUGGCUGCUUAGUGAGUGUGACUGCCCUGCAAUCAGGGUGCAAGUCACCUCCCUCUAAAUGUGGGGGGGCAUUGAGCUCUUUGUUAAACUGAGCAAUGUGACCGCCCUGUAACUAGGGUCUGGGUCUCUGCCCACUUGCUCAUUUGGCUUUACGCCGUGCUCUGCCCCCUGGGUCAGCGUGACCGCUCUGUAAUUAGGGUCUGUGUCACAAGUUACUCUUAAAUGGGACAUAUCGAGCUCCUUGGUACUUUGACAGCUGGACCUUCCUUUAAUUCAGGUUAUGGUCUCUCCUCUUUGGCUAAUGCCAGCGACCACCCUGUAAUGAGGGGACAGGUUGCAUCUCGCUUUUGAAAUCUGGGGGAUUAAAAUCAUUUCCGUAACAUGGGCAGCUUGACCUCCCUGUAACUAGGGUUUGCGUCUCCGAGGCCCUUUGGGUCUCUUGGCCUCGUGCUGUCUUCACAGCGUGCUGCGAAGGACCGCCCUGUCAUCAGGGAUCGGGUCUUUGCCCUCUAGUCUCUUGGCACUAGGCCAAAUGCAGCCACUGCCCCGAAUGAGCACCCUGUAAACAGGGUACAGGUCUCAUCAGCUACUAUUUAUGGUGCCCCCUGAGACUGUGUCCAGAGUACCGGCCCUUUAAGCAGCGCUUGCAACGUGCCUGGAAUUCUGCAGCCAAGUCUGCUGCUUUCUCCUCCCUUCUUGGACUCUUGGAGACCUGACAUGCUAUUGGUGGCCUCAUGAAGCAGAAGUGGAGAAGAAGGAAGUGUCAGGAAUGCCACAGACAGAGGAGAAAAGAAGAUGGAGGAAAAGGAAAGGAACUCUGGGCACAGUACCCUCCCUCAAAUCAGCCUCAGGUCAUGUAAUUAGACUGUAUGGGAAUCUCGAGCCUUUUAAUACCUUGAGCAGCGUGACCGCCCUGUAAGCUGGGUCCCGGUCUGUCCCCUUUGGACAUUCUGCUCCGUCAUCUGGCUAGUGUGAGUGACUGCCCUGUAAUGAGGGUGCCAGUCACCUCCCCCUUAAUGUGGAGGGGCAUUGAGCUCUUUCUUUAAUUGAGCAUUGUGACCGCCUGUAACUAGGGUGCGGGUCUCUGCCGACUUGCUCAUUUGGCAUUACGCCAGGCUCUGCCCCACUAGUCAGCGUGACAACCCUGUAAUUAGGGUCCAUGUCACAAGGCUCUCCAGAAUGGGACAUAUCGAGCUCUUUGGUACUUUGACAUCUGGACCUUCCUGUAAUUCAGGUUAUGGUCUCUCCUCUUUGGCUAAUGCCAGAGACCACCCUGUAAUGAGGGGACAGGU